rnacentral:rRNA from 1 species
UACGUAGGGGGCAAGCGUUGUCCGGAUUUAUUGGGCGUAAAGAGCGUGUAGGCGGCCCGGUAAGUCCGCUGUAAAAGUCAAAGGCUCAACCUUUGAAUGUCAGUGGAUACUGCCGAGCUAGAGUCCGGAAGAGGCGAGUGGAACUCCUGGUGUAGCGGUGGAAUGCGCAGAUAUCAGGAAGAACACCAACGGCGAAGGCAGCUCGCUGGGACGGUACUGACGCUGAGACGCGAAAGCGUGGGGAGCGAACAGG